rnacentral:rRNA from 1 species
UACGGGGGGGGCAAGCGGUGUUCGGAAUUACUGGGCGUAAAGGGCGCGUAGGCGGCCCGGUAAGUCAAAGGUGAAAUCCCUCGGCUCAACUGAGGAACUGCCUUUGAAACUGUCGGGCUCGAGGCCGGGAGGGGGUAGCGGAAUUCCCAGUGUAGCGGUGAAAUGCGUAGAUAUUGGGAGGAACACCGGUGGCGAAGGCGGCUACCUGGACCGGUUCUGACGCUGAUGCGCGAAAGCGUGGGUAGCAAACAGG